rnacentral:lncRNA from 1 species
GGCCGACUCAGGACUCAGAAUAGGGCUCAAUCCUAAACCAUCCCUUAAACCCUGUGCCCUAUGCACAUCUGAGAGGAAUUGACAAUUAACCAAACUCGUAAUAGCUCCACCUUGCCCUCUAGAUGGAAGUUUUCCAUAUUGCUCAUACCAAUCAAAUCCUCUCACAUCUCCACAAGUGUAUAUGGAUUAGGGGACGAUUUGUGAUUGUCCCUAGAGCUCGUAUUGGACCUUGGCCCAGCAUUGUUUGUCAAAGGGAUGAGUGGGAUAAAGAGGCGAUGGGUCUGGUCUGCUUUGGUCGUCCUCUAGCAGUGGCGGAAACCCUGUUGCACCAUCUGUUUGGCUUGCGAGGGAGGCAGG